rnacentral:rRNA from 1 species
CAAUAGCGUAUAUUAAAGUUGUUGCAGUUAAAAAGCUCGUAGUUGGAUUUCUGGUAGGAGUGACCGUUCCGAACUUGAUUGUUCGUGUAUUGUGUUUUCUCCAGACAUCCUUGUGGAGAACUUUUCUUGCAUUAAUUUGUAGGGAUUGGGACCCGCAUCGUUUACUGUGAAAAAAUUAGAGUGUUUAAAGCAGGCAAUCGCUUGAAUACAUUAGCAUGGAAUAAUAAGAUAGGACUUUGGUACUAUUUUGUUGGUUUGCAUACCAAAUUAAUGAUCAACAGGAACAGUUUGAGGAUAUUCGUAUGAACAUGUCAGAGGUGAAAUUCUUGGAUUUUGAUCAGACGAACUACUGCGAAAGCAUUUAUCAAGGAUGUUUUCAUUAA